UACAGAGGUCCCAAGCGUUGUUCGGAUUCACUGGGCGUAAAGGGUGCGUAGGCGGUCGGGUAAGUCUGGCGUGAAAUCUCCAAGCCUAACUUGGAAACUGCGUUGGAUACUAUCCGGCUCGAGGAAUGGAGGGGAGACUGGAAUACUUGGUGUAGCAGUGAAAUGCGCAGAUAUCAGGAGGAACACCAAUGGCGAAGGCAGCUCGCUGGGACGGUACUGACGCUGAGACGCGAAAGCGUGGGGAGCAAACAGG
rnacentral:rRNA from 1 species